GCAAGUCGAGCGGUAACAGGAAGUAGCUUGCUACUUUGCUGACGAGCGGCGGACGGGUGAGUAAUGCUUGGGAAUAUGCCUUUGAGUGGGGGACAACAGUUGGAAACGACUGCUAAUACCGCAUAAUGUCUACGGACCAAAGGGGGCUUCGGCUCUCGCCAUUUGAUUAGCCCAAGUGAGAUUAGCUAGUUGGUGAGGUAAUGGCUCACCAAGGCGACGAUCUCUAGCUGGUUUGAGAGGAUGAUC
rnacentral:rRNA from 1 species